rnacentral:rRNA from 1 species
GAUGAACGCUAGCGGCAGGCCUAAUACAUGCAAGUCGAGGGGCAGCAGGGAUAGCAAUAUUCGCUGGCGACCGGCGCACGGGUGCGAAACACGUAUACAAUCUGCCUUUAACUGGGGGAUAGCCCGGAGAAAUCCGGAUUAAUACCCCAUAAUAAUUUGACUGGCAUCAGUUAGAUUUGAAAGCUCCGGCGGUUAGAGAUGAGUAUGCGACUGAUAGCUAGUUGGUGAGGUAACGGCUCACCAAGGCAACGAUCAGUAGGGGAUCUGAGAGGAUUAACCCCACACGGAUACUGAGACACGGAUCCGACUCCUACGGGAGGCAGCAGUAAGGAAUAUUGGACAAUGCCGCAAGGGUGAUCCAGCCAUGCCGCGUGCAGGAAGAAGGCCCUAU